rnacentral:rRNA from 1 species
UACGUAGGGUGCGAGCGUUGUCCGGAAUUAUUGGGCGUAAAGGGCUCGUAGGCGGUUUGUCGCGUCGGGAGUGAAAACCCAGGGCUUAACUCUGGGCUUGCUUUCGAUACGGGCAGACUAGAGGUAUGCAGGGGAGAACGGAAUUCCUGGUGUAGCGGUGAAAAUGCGCAGAUAUCAGGAGGAACACCGGUGGCGAAGGCGGUUCUCUGGGCAUUACCUGACGUGGAGGAGC